GACUCCGUAGCUCAGUUGGUAGAGCAGUGGCCUUUUAAGCCAUUGGUCCUGCGUUCGAGUCGCAGCGGAGUCA
rnacentral:tRNA from 1 species